rnacentral:tRNA from 1 species
GGCCCUUUAGCUCAGUUGGUUAGAGCAGAGAACUCAUAAUUCUUUGGUCACUGGUUCGAGUCCAGUAGGGGCCA